rnacentral:rRNA from 1 species
GGGAAUAUUGCACAAUGGGGGAAACCCUGAUGCAGCGACGCCGCGUGAGUGAAGAAGCGCCUCGGCGCGUAAAGCUCUGUCAGCAGGAACGACGAUGACGGUACCUGAAGAAGCAGCACCGGCUAACUACGUGCCAGCAGCCGCGGUAAUACGUAGGGGGCAAGCGUUAUCCGGAUUUAUUGGGUUUAAAGGGUGCGUAGGCGGCAGAUUAAGUUAGAGGUGAAAUUCCGAGGCUCAACCUUGGCACUGCCUCUGAUACUGGUUUGCUAGCGAGUAGAUGCUGUAGGCGGAAUGUGUGGUGUAGCGGUGAAAUGCAUAGAGAUCACACAGAACACCGAUUGCGAAGGCAGCUUACAAAUCUAUAUCGGACGCUGAGGCACGAAAGCGUGGGGAGCAAACAG